GGAGUGUCAUGAUAUGGAGACUUCGUGUUCCUUGUCUAGCUCUGUGUUUCCUAGUCUACUUAAUCGUAGGCUAG
rnacentral:ncRNA from 1 species